GCCCGUCUGCAGCCCGAGCCUGGGGCGCUCGGAGUGGGGGUGCAGCACGGCUCCCAGCGGCUGCUCCUGGAACUGUGGACAAUCGUCAGUCAGUCUUGGCUUGAAAAAGGCUGAGAUGUGUGUGACCCGGGUGGUGAAAUUUCCUUUGGGGAAUCUGGAUUUCAAAAUAAAAACAUUUCACCCAUUU